AACAACACGGAAGAAAUCGCAAUCCUCAAAGAAAUUUUCAAUCUCAAUGUAAACCUAGAUCUCGUAAAAGAAUACCUUUAUAAUAUAUUUGAAUCAAUACAAAUGUCUAAAGCAAAAGUUAUCUCAAAAAAUAUUCUCACAACCGAAGAAAUAUUAGAAGCAAUGUCAAUUUUGAAAAGUGAAAAUGUUACUGUUGAUAGUUAUGAACAAGCCAUUGAAUAUCUCGAACUGAUUGUACUUCAUAGCAAUACCAAAAUUGUAUUUGUAAUUUUAAUACCAACUCUGAAGGACGCCAUCUUCGAACAUCAACUCAUCGAGCCGGUUGUCAAAGAAGGAAAGGUGUUGAAUCUAUUCGUGAACGAAGCAUUCACCAACACUAAGGAAACGUAUCUUAUAAUAGGUGACUGUCAGCAAAUUGGAAACAAUACUAUCUGCAGCAAAGAUCGACUAAAGGAUGUUUCAUUCGACACAUGCUAUUCCAAAAUCCUUCGAGGAUUAUCAGGUAAUUGUGAACUUGUCGAAUCCUCGGCAAAAACAGAAAUCAAGCAAAUAAGUUCCAAUUACAUUAUCAUCGAUGGUUUGAAAAGUCUGCCAAUCACAACAGACUGUGGACUUUCGAAUCGAAAUAUUUCCACAGCCACACUCAUUUAUUUCAAAAACUGCACAGUGGUAGUUAAUCACACAUCAUUUACCAACAUAGAGUACUUUACUCGAGAUUCUCCAGUACUAAUUCCCUUAAAUGGUUUACAAAUAACUGGGAAGACUGUAGAUACGAACAUAACUCUACAUAAAUUGAAGGAGAUACAUCUCGAUACUCGGAAACAGCUUCUUGCUUUACGCAAGCAACAUCAACAUACAACAAUUGGAACAUCCAUGGUCAUAAUAACCAUUGCGAUAGCAUUUGCCUUUUAUCUGUUCAAAGAUCGUUUCAGUCACAAGCCAAAUUCAUCGUCCAAAAUUGUCGAACCGGGACAGUUCGAACUGGAGGAGGGAGUAGUUAAAGCCGAAGCCAUCUCGAACCCCAACCUUUGCAGCCACCCAACCAAUGAAGACCAAAUAAAUCAUCUACAGCAACAGCAACAACAACUAGCUAGAUCGCUCGCCUUAUUAGCAAGCGAACACGAACAGCAGCAGCAUUAACCGACCCAGAGCACCAAAAUUGAAUCCACACCAACGGCAGUAGCACUGACUGACCCAGCGCACCAUCAUCAUCAUCAUCAUCAUCAUCAUCCACCUCCCGGCAACAUUGUACUCGCACCACCCAUCGACGCGAUUGCACCGAGACUGUCGAUGGCACCUAGAAUGCCGACUCAGCAGCAUACGCGACAACGACCCUUCAACGACGACGACGAUAGCAACAAGAAUGUUAGGAUAAGUUAAACAUAUCAAGAAAUAAAAUUAAUUCUGUUUCGAUCUCGAACGAGUCAAGUCGUUAUUUCAAAGUUUCCGAAGUUCUUAACUAUCAUAAUACUACGAAAAUUACUCAGAGGUAACGAGACCACAACGACAGGCCUGAAGGACGAAAGGAUUGUGUUUAGGGCACUGUGGGAUUUGUGAAUUUAUCCUCCGGGUGAGAAUUACCCAGCGACACUGGAACGUCAGAGGAGCAAUUGAAGACGAUAGUGAUGGCGAAACGAGAUCUACCAAAGAGAAAUCAUGCGCCAACGUACUCGUAUUUGGACUUAUAGGAUAAUAUCUCAAUGCAUCUCAAAUUCUCUCAGUUUCCGAGCUGUUAGAUUUACAGCACCCAAAUUUCCAUAACAUGCAACAGUGUCGAAUUUUCAAUACAACAAAUACUUUUGUUGUAGCCCACCAAGUUGACACUUAAGCCAAUUGACAAAAUGGAGAUGUGAAAUAGCAACAACCGACUUGCGCACAUGUUGCACUAGAAUGUUAACGUGUGAUUGAAUUCUCACCACAUGUUUUCUUUCCGCAUAGCGUUGAAUGAAAACUCUACCUUGCUUCUUUUCCCUUCCCUAAUAAAAUUGUUAUAGUUAGUUUGCUUAACGACGUGUUCCGGAUAUUAUCCAAACCAUUUGUGGAAUAGUUCUAUCAUUUGGGUUAUCAUUCGUUUAUGGUAUUUUUCAUUGGGGUUCCAUUUCGGUUACAUUCGCCUAUGUACUUCUUUGUACGAUAGCGAGUGUAUUGGUUCAUGAUGUUUUGUAAACCAGACAAGGUACCUCCCACAGACUACUUGAAAUGUGUAGAGUUUAAGUUUCGUUAGCUUAAGCUAAAGAAAUAAAAAUUAUUACUAACCGUUACGCUAACCGAAAUGCAUGCAUUCUCCAGAACAAGUAUCACAGCCAAAAUGUACAUUACAUGGCUGACCGUGAAGCGGUAGUAAAAAUGAGUUAGACAACCAAUAGUUAAAGCGAGUUGAAACACCAAUAGUUAAAGUGAGUUAAAACACUGGUGGUUAAAGUGAUUUUGAACAAGUGAAACCAACAUGGGUACCGAGGAAUGUAAGGAACAAUCCCCCAAGACCAUGGGUGACCAAACAGUGACGAUUGUGGAGAACCAGCAGGUUCACAACGAGUUUCAUGUCAAUCAUGAACUGAAAUUAAACAUUAUCUUAAUAAUGCUCACAGUUCACGCAGUAAUAGCAGUCGCAAAAAUACUGCUGCAAUGUAUGCGUAAAACCAUGGACAAAGUAGCGCAAAAUCCCGUGAUGACACAAAACGUUUAAUCGUUACAAAAAAAAAGUAGACCGAACAGAGUGUGUGUACAACCAAAUAAACGUUACUAAAUAAAAAAUUAAACUGUACAAUCUGUUACUGUUAAUCGAAUCGAAUCGAAGUUAAAGCCGCACAACUAGGUUUUAAUAAAUACGAGCAUAAACCCCAAGAACAAAAAUACUACGCGCGCGGAGCAGAAGAAAAGUGCAAACGCGUAAAAGUGUAACAAUCUAAAAUACAACUGCAGCAGAGACCACUGUCGCCAGGAGUCGGCAGGCGGGUUUACAUGGAACGUUACGGAUGAGUACGGGCGUGCAGCAGCUGGAUAAUCAACAACAUAGUUAUAACAAUAAAAAGUAUUUAAGAAUAGUUAAGAUAGUGAUACAGUAUUGAAUUCAUUUUUCAAGACACAUUGAAUUUGGUUUAUUUUAUCUGGAUCUUGUUGAUUGGAAUGGUUAUCAACCAUUACAUUAAAUUAUAUGUUGUGAAUGUGUUUUGUCCUUAAAUGGAAGAUUACUUGAAAUUCCAACAAUCAAAAAAUCAAUUAAUACCAAGUUGAAAGAAGAAACCUUGAAAACCAAAUUAAAACUUACUAAUGAACUAUAUGGCUCAAUUUCAAACCGGAUGGAUCAAGAUGAGGAACUUUUAUCCGAAUAUCAACUAAAUACCUACAAUUUCAACAAAUUCUUCUUAUUAAUAUACAUUUUAAGUUUUUAAAUUUGGAAAAUUAGGGAAUAAACAUAAGUUUUCUAAUCAUCUUACGCCAUCUCCUUAUCCAUUUAAAGUAGGCAAAGUUAAUACUAACGAAAUGACGGAUCCAGUAUUUGACAUUAAACAGGCAACAGCCAUCGUGCAACCGUAUGAUAGCAAUGCCGAAAAUCUUGAUUCGUUUGUGGAUGCAGUAAAACUACUUAAAGAUGUGCUACUAACACAGGUAGCAACGGCCAUUAGACUCUUAAAGCCAGAUAGACUGGCAAAGCCAGGAUUGGUAUGCAAAAUGAUUAUAAUACCAUUGAUGAACUUAUCAAUGAUAUUCAGCAAAGAUGCAAAGGUACACCUCACCGGAAAAUAUUAUUUCUCAAAUGAAAGCAAUAAAAAUGAAAUCUAAUGAAAUCGUGAGAGCUUAUUGUGUCAGCAUUGAAAAAUGCUAUGUAAAAUUGAAAUCAAUUUACAUAAACCAACAAAUACCACCAGCAGUAGCUUAAACAAUGGCUCGAAAGGUUGGUAUUGAUACACUAAUUAACGGUAUCAAUAACCAGGAAGUAAAAUUAAUUCUGAAGGCUGGAACAUUCGCCAGCCUGGCCGAAGCCAUUACCAAAGUUAAUGAAAACAGCCAAGAAACAGCACAGGGGACUCAGAUAUUGUCCUUCGCUAAGGUAGCGGGACAACAAGCGACCCGAGGAAAUUUUAGAAGAGGAUCAAGAGGGGGAUAUAGACAAUAUAACAAUAAUAGGCAAAGUUGACAGUGGCAACUAACUAUGGUACUGUUCAGAUUGAAUAGAUAAACGUAUCCCCGGAUUCGAGACAUCAACAAACAAUCAUGUAUACUGUUUCUGGUGUGUAAGCCAUAAUAUUAUGGAUGCAAUAGUUGUCAACUCUGAUGGGAAGAUCAACUUGAUCUCGUAAGCGAAGAAAGAUCGCGUGAAUAAUGCGUUUUAAACGGUAUCAAAACGAAAUUUUCAAUCAGAAAACUAAGCGAUGUUGGCAUUUCGAACCUAAGCAAAAGUAAUGCCAUAAACAAAAGAAGCUAGAUAUGUGGAAUAGAUCGUAGCAAUUUUUAAAGAAACCGAACGGAAGCGUGUUCGAGAAGCUGCGGCUACAUCAACAGAGCAAGUUACGAUGAUGAUGAUGAUGAUGAUGAUGAUGAUGGAUAUGCCAUUCCCAUCCAAACAAUAAACAGAACACAAAUUCAAUCAUACUAAACAAACAAUUCAUCCCCAGGCAGCAAAGCCAACGCCCGGGUAAAAAUAAUGCAAUUAUGCAAUUCUAAACGAGCCAUAUGUGUAGCCACUCGGUACUGGACUUGCAGCGCUCUUUCACCCUCUAUCCACCGUUCAUGUGUUGUCCGAGGUGGUUCGCGCAGCACGAAAGGUUCCGAGUGACAACGCCGGGCGCUCAACCGAAAUAUAUGCAAUAUAACUGAUAAUGCUAGGAUAAGCAUUUUUGUCGCUGUGUGUCCCUCCAGUCGUUUCACUCUUUAAUGAUAUGACUCUUUUUAACAUAUAGGAAACAUUGUAAACCAUUGUAUAAAAGGAACAUGCAUUUUAAUAAACAGAAAUUCUAAUUCUAGAGCUGGACUCUGACUGGGUUCACCUCGGUCAGACCAAUAGAAACUCUAUUGUGAUAACAAACGAUACAAAAUACGUCCGAAUCUAAAGAACAAGAUCAAGACGUCAAACAGGUGGGGGACCAAUAAGUGACAGUGAUAGUAAAUCAUCAAAUCUACACAUAAUAUAACUCUCAGCAUGAGGUGAUUCUGUGGAUAAUAAUAGCAAUGGUAGCAACGUUGCUAAUUAUGAAAAUUUAAAAAUUAGCAAUUGCAUAUUGCAAAAAGCAAGCGUUUAAAACAGCAAACAUUCAAAAUGUGUAGAACAAACUUAACAUUUUAAAGUGAAAAGGACAAACAAAAAACAGUGUAAAAAUGUAAUGCAAAGAAGGAAAGAAUAUAUUUAUGCACUGAGCGUCAUCAACAAGUGCUAAUCAAUCAUUAGAAAAACGAAGAAAAAAACAAUACAAUGAACAUUGCACUGUGUUCAUUGUGUAGUGUACCUACAUGCUUCCAUCAAAAUUUAACAUAGACACAUUAAGCAACGCUACUUCAGUGUCAGCAUUUUGGCAUAACCAGCAAGUAUGAGAACGAUUGCCUCCAUCGUGUCUCACCGUAAAUUGUUCAACUAAAAAUGACUCCUCGUCAGCAUGUUUCAAGUCAGGUAGCUGGUAACUAUGCAUAGAAAUAAAGACAGCACAUUCUAACUCCAACAUCGGUUGUGUUUUUCUAGAAAAGAAGUGAAAAAAGAGGAAAAGAUAAUAGGAUGUACUCGUGUACACGCGCAAGCUCAAGUUACCAGCACAUUCCAUCGACUACGUGGACCAUGUGCACAUUAUGUACACAUUUGUUGCCUUCUCCAGUAUAUCUGAUAAUAAAUAAAUUCAUUCUAGUUUGAACUACUAACCGAGUCGGAUGUAAUUAAUUAUUCUAGCAAUCCGAAAACCGCGAAACAUCUCAGUAGGAGGUUUUCAGCCUGGGGCUGGUUCGCCUCCACCUUCCGAAGAAAUAGUAAAGCAGUGUGCAGAACAUUUUCAAAGGGAAAAAAGAUAUUGACAACGUUCAACCCAAAAGAGAACAUCUGCGACAAAAGGAGAAAUAGAAAGCUAAGGAAGCAAUAAGUGUAGCUAUUUUCAACUUGGGAGCUGGAGCUGCCCUAAAAGCCGAGAAUCGGAAUCAAAUAGACUUGUUGCUGUGGGAUUACGUGGGAUUAACAAUGAACAUUAAUGACUACAAGGACCGGAUUAUGAAUUUAAUGAAUUCAACAGAACCGAGGAGGAGUAAUUGGAUUCAACAGAACUGAGGAUGAUGUUAAGCUGCUUCCUUGAAAUGGUAUCCAAUACUUUCUACAAUGACGUAGUCGUUAAUAGUCUUAUUUUUAACAACAAAUACUAAAUUAGAACUUUUAUUUUAGGAAAUGGAAAAGGAACGGAAGAGAACAAAAACUAAAUAGAAACAGUUCGAAAACUUGCCAAUCACCGGCGGACAUCGAUUGCCAUCCAUUGACGGCAAUCGAAUGUGCAUCAACAUCAAUACCUGCGUAGGAUAUCGC